GACGAACGCUGGCGGCGUGCUUAACACAUGCAAGUCGAACGGAAAGGCCCUGCGUUUGUGGGGUGCUCGAGUGGCGAACGGGGGAGUAACACGUGAGUAACCUGCCCUUGACUUUGGGAUAACUUCAGGAAACUGGGGCUAAUAUAGGAUAGGAGAUCCUGCUGCAUGGUGGGGGUUGGAAAGUUUCGGCGGUUGGGGAUGGACUCGCGGCUUAUCCGCUUGUUUGUGGGGUAGGCGAUUACCAAGGCUUUGACUGGUAGGCCGCCUUAGAGGGUGAACGGGCACCAGACGCCUGCGGUACGGCGCAGUCGCCUACGUGAGGCAGCAGUCGGGAGUAUUGCGCAAUGAGCCGGAGCGUGUGGCAGCGGCCCCGGGUUCGGAAAGACGUCCUUCUGGUUGUGAACCGCUUUCGCCUGUGACGAAGCGUGAGUGACGGUAAUGGAUAAAGAAGCACCGGCUAACUACGUG
rnacentral:rRNA from 1 species